CUGGCUCAGGAUGAACGCUGGCGGCGUGCUUAACACAUGCAAGUCGAACGAACCUCGGGUAGUGGCGGACGGGUGAGUAACGCGUGGGAACCUGCCCUCAGGAGGGGGAUAACGGCUGGAAACGGCCGCUAAUACCCCAUAUGCCGAGAGGUGAAAUGAGAUUCGCCUGAGGAUGGGCCCGCGUCUGAUUAGCUAGUUGGUGGGGUAAAGGCCUACCAAGGCGACGAUCAGUAGCUGGUCUGAGAGGAUGAUCAGCCACACUGGGACUGAGACACGGCCCAGACUCCUACGGGAGGCAGCAGUGGGGAAUUUUCCGCAAUGGGCGAAAGCCUGACGGAAGCAACGCCGCGUGAGGGAUGAAGGCCUCUGGGCUGUAAACCUCUUUUCUCAAGGAAGAAGACCUGACGGUACUUGAGGAAUAAGCCACGGCUAAUUCCGUGCCAGCAGCUGC
rnacentral:rRNA from 1 species